rnacentral:rRNA from 1 species
UACGCAGGUGGCAAGCGUUGUCCGGAAUUAUUGGGCGUAAAGCGCGCGCGGGUGGUUCUUUAAGUCUGAUGUGAAAGCCCACGGCUCAACCGUGGAGGGUCAUUGGAAACUGGGGAACUUGAGUGCAGAAGAGGAAAGUGGAAUUCCAAGUGUAGCGGUGAAAUGCGUAGAGAUUUGGAGGAACACCAGUGGCGAAGGCGACUUUCUGGUCUGUAACUGACACUGAGGCGCGAAAGCGUGGGGAGCAAACCGG